rnacentral:rRNA from 1 species
CCUACGGGUGGCAGCAGUAGGGAAUUUUCGUCAAUGGGCGCAAGCCUGAACGAGCAAUGCCGCGUGAACGAGUAAGGUCUUCGGAUCGUAAAGUUCUGUUGAAGGGGAAACAGAGCGGAGAGAGGAAAUGAACUCCGAUUGAUAUUACCCUUCGAGGAAGUCACGGCUAACUACGUGCCAGCAGCCGCGGUAAGACGGGGGUGGCGAGCGUUAUCCGGAAUGAUGGGGGGUAAGGGGUGCGUAGGCGGCCUGCUAAGUCUGGAGUGAAAGGUACCGGCUCAACCGGUACAGGCGCAGGAAACUGGCGGGCUAGAGAGCAGGAGAGGGCAGUGGAAUUCCAGGUGUAGCGGUAAAAUGCGUAGAUAUAUGGAAGAACACCAGUGGCGAAGGCGGGCGCCUGGACUGUUACUGACGCUGAGGCACGAAAGCGAGGGGAGCAAAUGGGAUUAGAUACCCGUGUAGUC